GCAGAAGGCAUUCACAAGUUGCCAGAGUGAUUUUGUCUGAGUGUUCGGCCUGGAGGUGGCUGAAAGAGCAAUAAUGAAACAGAAUGGGCGGUCCGAGCGGACAUGAAACAGCGAUUACACGAUUCAUGACUUCAAUUGAGAGAUGAGUUUCAAGCCACCUUUCAAGGAAUCCUGGGUAGAAUGAAAUCUGUUCCAUGGAAUCUUAAGAAGAAGAAGAAAAAAAAUCAAGAUCCCUGUGGAUACUCUCCUGAUAUACCACGAUGCAGAAUGUCAAGUAGGAAAAGAAGCUGUUGCAUUGGGCAAUUAAGAAGUCAUUGGUGAGAGAAGUUUCAG
rnacentral:lncRNA from 1 species